GACGAACGCUGGCGGCGUGCUUAACACAUGCAAGUCGAACGGAAAGGCCCUGCUUGCAGGGUACUCGAGUGGCGAACGGGUGAGUAACACGUGGGUGAUCUGCCCUGCACUUCGGGAUAAGUCUGGGAAACUGGGUCUAAUACCGGAUAGGAGCCAUUUUUAGUGUGAUGGUUGGAAAGUUUUUUUCGGUGUAGGAUGAGCUCGCGGCCUAUCAGCUUGUUGGUGGGGUAAUGGCCUACCAAGGCGGCGACGGGUAGCCGGCCUGAGAGGGUGGACGGCCACAUUGGGACUGAGAUACGGCCCAGACUCCUACGGGAGGCAGCAGUGGGGAAUAUUGCACAAUGGGCGCAAGCCUGAUGCAGCGACGCCGCGGGGGGGAUGACGGCCUUCGGGUUGUAAACUCCUUUCGCUAGGGACGAAGCUUUUUGUGACGGUACCUAGAUAAGAAGCACCGGCUAACUACGUG
rnacentral:rRNA from 1 species